rnacentral:tRNA from 1 species
GAGGCCCAACCCUCUUAUUUCUA